rnacentral:rRNA from 1 species
ACGGCUCAGUAACACGUGGACAACCUACCCUCAGAUCUGGGAUAACUCCGGGAAACUGGAGAUAAUACCGGAUAAUCCGUGAACGCUGGAAUGCCUUACGGUUUAAAGCUUUAGCGUCUGAGGAUGGGUCUGCGGCCGAUUAGGUAGUUGCUGGGGUAACGUCCCAACAAGCCGAUAAUCGGUACGGGUUGUGAGAGCAAGAGCCCGGAGAUGGAUUCUGAGACACGAAUCCAGGUCCUACGGGGCGCAGCAGGCGCGAAAACUUUACACUGCGCGAAAGCGCGAUAAGGGGACCUCGAGUGCGUGCGCAAUGCGUACGCUUUUCAUACGCCUAAAAAGCAUGUGGAAUAAGAGCCGGGCAAGACCGGUGCCAGCCGCCGCGGUAACACCGGCGGCUCGAGUGGUGGCCGCUAUUAUUGGGCUUAAAGGGUCCGUAGCCGGACCAGUUAGUCCCUUGGGAAAUCUUACGGCUUAACCGUAAGGCUGCCAAUGGAUACUGCUGGUCUUGGGACCGGGAGAGGCAAGAGGUACCUCAGGGGUAGGAGUGAAAUCCUGUAAUCCUUGAGGGACCGCCAGUGGCGAAGGCGUCUUGCUAGAACGGGUCCGACGGUGAGGGACGAAAGCUAGGGGCACGAACCGGAUUAGAUACCCGGGUAGUCCUAGCCGUAAACGAUGCGAGCUAGGUGUCACGUGGAUUGCGAAUCCAUGUGGUGCCGUAGGGAAACCGUGAAGCUCGCCGCCUGGGAAGUACGGCCGCAAGGCUGAAACUUAAAGGAAUUGGCGGGGGAGCAC